GGGUGAAAGCUUUGGUGUCAGAGAUAGACAAAGCUUCUUCCGUCCUCCCUGCUGGGAACAGCUACCUCACCUUGUUUUGGAUACAGCCCAGGGCUCACCACCCAGGGCUGAGAAAAGGUGCUGCUGGCCUCUCUAGAAAUUCAGAGCAUGGACCUUUGGCUUGGUAACAGGGAAACAUGAUCUUCAAUAGGAUAAAGUGGUACCCAGAGUUUCCUUGGAGUUUCCGUGCUUUUGCAUUGUGUGUAUGUGUGUGAGUGUGUGUGUGUGUGUGUGUGUGUGUGAGAGAGAGAGAGAGAGAGAGAGAGAGAGAGAGAGAGAGAGAGAGAGAGAGAGAAAAUGACUUGCACCAAGCAAUAGACAGGAAUUGCCCUCUAAGGUGGCAGCUCUCAGGUGGGGAAGAUCGCUGCUCUGUUAGAAACCUCCAGUUAAUGUAACCAGGUGCCCCACUUCACCAUUUCCUGGGACAACUUAGGCAAGUUCUGAAAUACCCUGGUUCUACAUAUCCCUGAUCUCCAUCACCAAGUGACAACUCCCCCUGUGCAUAGUACUUGUUUCUUUAGGUCCAUCUUUAUUUAAAACUGAGGAUGUUGUGGCCGGGGUCUCCAGGUGGCCUCCAGGUAUCUGUAGCCCUUUGUGUGUGGGCUCCCCCACUCAACCAAGUCUCAAGAAGUUUUUAACUUUUUUUUUUUUUUGGAAGUGAAAAAGUCUCUCUAUGGCCUCCAUUCUAGAAAAAAAAAAAAAGGAGGAGGGGCUUCUGUUUCCUCUGUGACAAUAGCAUCAAGAUUUUCUUUCUAGAGGAGGCUGGAAAAAGCAGGGUACCUUAGAACAGGUGAGAUCUGGAAAGGACCCAGACCCUCUGCCUGCUGCUAGAGAAGUCUAACAAUCCCACAGGAAGGAGGAAAGCAAAUCUCUGCCAGGAGUUAAUGGGGAUUUGCAGAUUCACUGUAUUAAUUUAAAGGAGUCAGUAAUACUUGUACAGAUUUUUUAAAUGGGGGACAGGUAACUCUGAGCUAUAGAAGCAUGGGAGAUCUAGGGCUUUAUGUAUUUCAUAUACUUUAAAAUAUCACAUAGCUUGUCUGUAAGGAAGCAUAAACCUGUAAGCGACUUUUUGAUGAUGGGAAGUGUGUGUGUGUGUGUGUGUGUGCAUGCGUGCACGGGGGUGCUGGGCAUUGACCCCAGGUCCUUGCUCAUGGUAGGCAAGUGCUCCACCACUGAGCUACACCCCAGCCUGGAAAUAGACUUUUGACUUUAUUGUUUGAGAAUAUAAUGUGUCAAGUCAUAUAUGUUUGAAUGUUAAAUUACCUUGCUCCUUAAAGCAGGCCUAGACAUAAGCAUAGGUGAGGGGCUUGUGACAGACUUUUGUGAUUCAAAAUCUACAAACAAGCACCCCUGCCAGGUGAUUUAUCUACCCAUUAGAAACCAAGGGUUUCUUUCUGCCUGUGUGACCUUGGUCAGUUUACUUAACCUCUCGGAUCCUUCAUUUCCUCAUUUAUAAACUAAUGAGAACUGAUAUUAAUGUGUGACAUUCCUUAAUAUUAUGCCAUACCCCUAAUAGUUGUUCUGUAAAUAGUGGCAAUGUGGAUGCUCCUGCUAAUGAUGAUUUUAGCAUGCCAAAAUGCUACUUCUACCCUAAGAAGUAAGCAAUCCUGUUUCAAUCAAGAUGAUGGUUUCCCCCUUAGCCACACACAUCAGUAAUUUCCGCCCUCCUUCCUCAAUGAAUUAACAUCACACUAAGGGAGUGAGGAUUAAGCUUCAGAUGACCAUCACACACAUAUAAUUCAAGAGUACUGGCAAGACCUAAGAACACAGACUCUUGCUGGCAUAGAGGCUGAACUCAGUUGCUGGUGACUUCACAGCUGUGUCUGCCUCCCCGGCGCGGCGCGUCUGUCCCCUGACUCUGUCCCCUCAGCUGGAUCUGCAAGGCUGACUCUGGGAUUCUCUUAUGAAAAUGCCUGAUGGGCUGGAGGUUAGCUGGGGAAAAAAUGAGUAAUUCAAAGCAGCCUGCUUAGUAAACGCUGCAAGAGAAAUAAAAGUAAAAGCUGACUCCUGUCUCUGGGGACUCUAGAAAUGAUCCUGACUUAUCAUGUCACUGAGCAGAGUUGGGGAAGCCAAAACUCGGAAUCUGCU
rnacentral:tRNA from 1 species